GUUUUUAACAUUAUAAAUUAGUCCUACAAAGAUUUUGUUAUUAUUACAAACAAACGAUGGAAAAUAUGGCUAGAAAUUUAAAGUUUAUUUAUGUUAUGGUCCUCUUUCUUGCAUUGUUUUUUGUUCUAACCAACGGUGACUCUUUUCGAGGUUGCAACAAAGACACUGAUUGUCCAGAAAAAUUUUGUUCCUCUCCUGAUGUUGUGAGGUGUAUUUAUAUUGAAUGUUACUGCAUUUAACAGGUAAGAAGAGUAACACAUGACAUGAAGUCAUUAUAGCACAAAACAACUUUUGUAUCGUAUAUUAUCUACACAAAUAAAUUAAUGUAAACUUGUUACAUUGACAUUUAUACAAUAAAAUAUUAUUGAAUGUAUGUAUCUAUGUUUUCUUUAAAGCAAAAAUAUAUUGAUAGGAUUUAGACUAA